UGAGUAACCUGCCCCAGACUCUGGGAUAAGCACUGGAACGGUGUCUAAUACCGGAUAUGACUCCUCAUCGCAUGGUGGGGGGUGGAAAGCUUUUUGUGGUUUGGAUGGACUCGCGGCCUAUCAGCUUGUUGGUGAGGUAAUGGCUCACCAAGGCGACGACGGGUAGCCGGCCUGAGAGGGUGACCGGCCACACUGGGACUGAGACACGGCCCAGACUCCGUACGGGAGGCAG
rnacentral:rRNA from 1 species